UAUAGUUCAUACUGUACACACGAAGCUUUCAAUCAUCCCUGAACAAGGUGCGCUUCGGUCGAUCUCUUCUCUGAGUUCAACGUAGCCCGAUCACCGUUUACACAAACGCAUUCGAUCAUCCCUUUCAAACGCUGCGUUUCGGUUGAUCUUUGAGUUCAAGAUGGAAUAGAAGAAACUAAAAGAGUACUUCAAUGGUGAACUUGGCGAGUCGCUGGAGGACGAUACGCUGCUUGAAUGGCAAUAUUCUGAUACGGAGGAAGAGGCAUUAUCACCAUCUCCAUCCUCACCACCCACUCAAACGAUCUAUUCUCAAGAACCUAUCUCCUCCACCACACCGCCACUGUUUCGCCUCAACAUUACAACAACCCAAAAAUUCUGUGUCUCUAGACCUCUAUACUCCUAACAAAAGAAUCUCUCAUUUGAUCCGAAACGGUCGAAUUAAUGAAGCAAGAGCUCUGUUUGAUGCAAUGCCGCAUAGAAACAUUGUUACUUGGAAUUCAAUGAUAACUGGAUAUGUUAGAAGGAGAGAGAUGGCUAAGGCACGUAAGCUGUUUGAUGAAAUGCCUGACAGGGAUGUAGUGUCAUGGAACUUGAUGAUAUCGGGUUAUGUAUCAUGUCGAGAGAGGUGGGUGGAGGAGGGGAGGCAUUUGUUUGAUGAAAUGCCAGAGAGGGAUUGUGUGUCAUGGAACACUAUGAUUAGUGGAUAUACACGGAGUGGGAGGAUGGAUGAGGCAUUGCGACUUUUUGACAGCAUGCAGGAGCGGAAUGUGGUUAGCUGGAAUGCCAUGGUUACUGGGUUUUUGCAGAAUGGGGAUGUAGAGAGGGCUAUUGAGUUUUUUAUGCGAAUGCCGGAGAGGGACUCGGCUUCUCUCAGUGCUCUUGUGGCAGGUUUAAUUCAGAAUGGUGAAUUGGAUGAAGCAAGAAGAAUUUUGCUUAUGAGCAGGAGAAAGGAUGAUGACAAAGGUGAUCUGGUACAUGCUUAUAAUAUUUUGCUUGCUGGGUAUGGUCAAAAUGGAAGAGUUGACGAAGCUCGACAACUUUUUGAUCAAAUCCCAUUUUAUGAUGGAGGACAGAAAGAUGGUGGGCGGUUUGAAAGGAAUGUAGUAUCAUGGAAUUCCAUGAUCAUGUGCUAUGUGAAAGCCGGAGACAUCUUUUCUGCUAGGGUUCUUUUUGAUCAAAUGAAAGAGCGCGAUACUAUCUCUUGGAACACCAUGAUCAGUGGCUAUGUUCGCAUGUCAGAUAUGGAAGAAGCAUGGAUGCUUUUUCAAGAAAUGCCAAACCCUGACACACUGACAUGGAAUUCAAUGAUCUCUGGGUUUGCCCAGAAGGGUAAUCUAGAACUUGCCCGUGCUCUCUUUGCAACGAUUCCACAGAAAAACCUGGUCUCAUGGAACUCCAUGAUAGCAGGUUAUGAGAAUAAUGGAGACUACAAAGGAGCAACUGAGCUCUACAGGCAGAUGCUACUCCAAGGAGAGAAACCUGAUAGGCACACUUUAUCUUCAGUCCUUAGUGUGUGCUCAGGGUUCGCAGCUCUGCACUUAGGUAUGCAAAUCCAUCAGCAGAUUACAAAAACAGUUAUUCCAGAUAUACCAAUAAAUAACUCCCUGAUUACCAUGUAUUCAAGGUGUGGGGCAAUAGUUGAAGCUCGAACCAUUUUUGAUGAGGUGAAAUUGCAGAAAGAAGUAAUCUCUUGGAAUGCGAUGAUCGGAGGAUAUGCAUUUCAUGGAUUUGCUGCAGAGGCUCUUGAACUUUUUGAGUUGAUGAAGAGGCUUAAAGUGCGGCCCACUUAUAUUACAUUUAUCUCAGUUUUGAAUGCGUGUGCUCAUGCUGGGUUAGUGAAAGAAGGUCGGAUGCACUUCAAAUCCAUGGCCUGUGAAUUUGGAAUUGAGCCACGAAUUGAGCACUUUGCCUCCCUUGUGGACAUUGUGGGUCGACAUGGGCAGCUUGAGGAGGCUAUGGAUCUGAUCAAUAGCAUGCCAUUUGAACCAGAUAAGGCUGUGUGGGGUGCAUUACUGGGUGCUUGUAGGGUGCAUAACAAUGUGGAGUUGGCCCGAGUUGCAGCUCAAGCAUUGAUGAAACUGGAACCAGAAAGCUCAGCCCCUUAUGUAUUGCUUCACAACAUGUAUGCUGAUGUGGGGCAAUGGGAUAAUGCAACAGAAAUGAGAAUGAUGAUGGAAAGAAAUAAUAUCAGAAAGCAACCAGGAUAUAGUUGGGUAGAUUCCUCCCAUUCUGGAUAGUAUUUAUGACUGACCUAAAGUUGCCAUAAGGUUUUAAAAGAUUUGAUUUGAGAUGUUGUGUGAUAACAAGGUGUCAUGGAUUAAGAAAACGGCAGUUGCUUACUUGCAAGGUAAAGGGCAAAGGAUUCAAUAGCUAUGGUUAGAACAAAGCCCAUAUUCCUUUCCUGAUAGGCCUCUUUGCUUCAAACCACUGCUUGUCAUGGCUUAGAACCCAUAUGAGUAAGAACUUCCUUGUCAAACCACUCCAUGGGAAGAUCCGGGAAUAGGACCCAAACCACGGCUUUGGACAUGGGAGAGGAGGUGGGGAGAACUUUGGAUACAUUGAAGUAUAAUACACUGUUGGAAACCAUAGUAGCUCUAUCUAUACUUGGUCCUAAUCAUGUUGGAGAGAGAGCUAGUGACACUAGUAUGGUUUCAUCAACCUCAACUGAUAAAAGAAUUGAGAACUUGAGAGUUGGAGGAAAAUGGCCUAUUCAUGACCAAGACACUAACGAGAAGAAGUGCCAAAAGCUUGAUGAAGAAAUUACAUGCGCACCUCACUUCUCUCUCUUGAAAUUCUGAAACUCCCAUGGUCAAAGCUAAUUCAUUAAGACCGGAAGUUUCUCUGACCGCCCUUAGCAUGCUUUCAUAUGCAUGGAUCCAUGUGAGAAGACAGAACCAUGUGAUUAAUUAUCAACAAGGAUUGCUAGCCGUCCAAAAAUGCUCAUAAAGAGUUUGCAGCAUCUGUUGUUGGAAUUGAGACUGAAGGCCUUGUCAAGAACUAAGGUUCUCGAAUGCACAAGAACCAUCCGUCAAUUCCUGGAAAGAUGUAAUUUCCUGGAUCCUUUACCUGCAUGAGUAACUACAUGGUAUGGGGGUUAAUUCAGGGAGAUUUCUCAUGUUGGAAGGGAGAGAUAUUUUGCUGUUAG